UACGUAGGGUGCAAGCGUUGUCCGGAAUUAUUGGGCGUAAAGAGCUCGUAGGCGGUCUGUCGCGUCUGCUGUGAAACUCAGGGCUUAACCCUGAGCUUGCAGUGGGUACGGGCAGACUAGAGUGCGGUAGGGGAGACUGGAAUUCCUGGUGUAGCGGUGAAAUGCGCAGAUAUCAGGGAGGGAACACCGGUGGCGAAAGGCGGGUCUCUGGGCCGUAACUGACGCUGGAGGAGCGAAAGCAUGGGGAGCGAACAGG
rnacentral:rRNA from 1 species